GAUGAACGCUGGCGGCGUGCUUAACACAUGCAAGUCGAACGAUGAAGCCCAGCUUGCUGGGUGGAUUAGUGGCGAACGGGUGAGUAACACGUGAGUAACCUGCCCUUGUCUCUGGGAUAAGCCUGGGAAACUGGGUCUAAUACUGGAUAUGACUUCUCAUCGCAUGGUGGGGGGUGGAAAGAUUUAUUGGUCUUGGAUGGACUCGCGGCCUAUCAGCUUGUUGGUGAGGUAAUGGCUCACCAAGGCGACGACGGGUAGCCGGCCUGAGAGGGUGACCGGCCACACUGGGACUGAGACACGGCCCAGACUCCUACGGGAGGCAGCAGUGGGGAAUAUUGCACAAUGGGCGCAAGCCUGAUGCAGCGACGCCGCGUGAGGGAUGACGGCCUUCGGGUUGUAAACCUCUUUCAGUAGGGAAGAAGCGAGAGUGACGGUACCUGCAGAAGAAGCGCCGGCUAACUACGUG
rnacentral:rRNA from 1 species